GUUCAGAGACUGAUUCGUGACGAACAUAAUCAAACGAUGAAACCAUUUUAAGCUCAUCGAGAGAUUUCCUUAAAAUUGUCUCGUUGUUUGAGUGUGUUUGUUAUGAAUAAGACUCUGAAC
rnacentral:pre_miRNA from 1 species